UUUUUAAACCUCAUUUAUUAAUCUGUAAUUAUGAUUAUUAUCGUAAUGACGUCCUUAAUUUUUGUUUUUUUUACCGAUCUAUUUUAAUUAUCUUAUUAUGUCUAUUCUUUUUAUUAUGACAUAAUAUGAAUUAUUGGAGCCCAAGCUUUUAUUAACCGUGAGUUUUGUCUUCCCAUCUCUCUUUAAGACCAAGUGUUGAUGCCAAAAAUCUGAAUUUCAUUCUUUAAUAUGGAAUUACAUUAUUGCCCUUAUUGCUCUAAAAACAAGAAAGCCUCUUUUAUUCUCCUCCUUUUAUACGUGUAAAUGGAGACUUAUGACAAGCAAGCUUUUGACUUCUCUUGUUCCCCUGUAUCAGUCCAAAUACAUGAAAUUACAAAACCUCAAAUUUCUUCUUCCUUUUUCUUCCAUACGUGUAAGUUGAGGCAUUUUUUAGAGUGACAAAUGUUCAAAUACUUCUUUCUCUUUUCACGACUCAUCUGUGUAAAUAAUACCUAUAAAUAGCUUCUUCUUUUCGGUUGUUUGCAACACCAAAACAAGCUCAAACAUGAGAUAAAAUCCAUUAUUAUACACAUUUUAAGCUAACCUUUCUGAUUUCUUUUCUCUAUUAUUUCGGUUCUUCGAUUCAACCAUUAAUUUUGCUACCCAAUUUCUCUCUCCCCUGGUUGACCACCGCGGCUCAGCCUUACUAGCCACCGUGCCACCACCGGGUUCCAGCAUCUUGCUUCCUGCUGCCACCCAGACACCCUCUUGUUGCUUCACCGUUGAAGGGACGGAGCUACCGCCUCUGUUCUUCUAUCCUUCGUUGCUUUUUUUUCCAUCUGAUACAUUUUCAUCUUAUGUAAAAAGUGUCCCAUAGGUUUUAGGAGUUUAUUAAAAUAAGUGGGCCUUGAUGAUUCAUUGAUUUGUCAAUGGAGUUAAAACAUUUGUGGGCUUUGAUCAGAAUAUUACUAAAGACAAAGUAAGCAUUUAUAGGCUUUAAGUUGCAUUGAUAUUUAAUUGAAGAUUACUAAUUACCAAAUUACUAAUGUUUAUUAUGGCUGAAUAUAAUACCGAGGCUCUUGGAGUCAAUGGGGAGUACAAUGACGUUGAGUGUACUUUGGGCUUAAGUACUGAAGGAGUAAUACGAUCAUUAAGGAAAUUGGUUAAUGGUUGAGGUUCGAUUAAGGAGCUCAAGUUGCUCAAGUCAAAGUUAUUACUGGAGUUGGUAAUUUAUUAUGGGGAUAUCGAGAUGAGAAUUAUUUAUUAAGGAAAUCCUGUUAUUGAGGUUGUUAUAAGAAUAUUGAUUUAUAUUUAUUUUAUGGGAAAAUUGUAUUA